UCAAAUUUCCUUACAAAAAUUGCACUAGAUAUUGCACCAUACCUCUGCCAGCCGCAAGCAAAACAUUUCCUUAAUUGUGCAAUGGGAAAAACAGUGUUGAGAUGAAACACAAUUAAUAAUGAUGUGCUGUAAAUGUGGCAGAGGUACAGAAUAAAUUUUAAUGCAGACAGCCUCGUCUGGCACUACACCAGUUGCAACUAAUUCCAAGAUAAUCUACAAACGCACUACAGCUGACAUGUCUGGUGACAGAUCAUUUUUCCAGUUACAUGUAGACAAAUGUUUUAACUUGAAUAGCCGCCUUGUAAUCAAAACCUGUAUCCUAUCUAUCAAAGCUAAUCCUUCUGCUCAACACUUCAAACUGUAACAGAUGAACUAGCAAUCAAGAGCCAACAAAGACCAUCUACUAGUAAUAAUUAACGAGAUUGUCAGUAAUCCUUGCAUCAUCUGUUAUUCCAACACAAGGGCUCACUAAAUUACGGAAGACCAGACUUGCGGAGAUCCAGAGCAACACACAAAAUGCUGGAGGAACAGAGCAGAUCAGAUGGCAUCUAUGGAAAUAAAUAAAACAGGUAACUUUUCAGGUCGAGACCCUUCUUCAGGACUGGAAAGGAAGGCAGAAGAUGGCAGAAUAAAAAGAUGUUCCAGAGUUGUGUGAAGAGCCAACCAGAUUUAACUUGCUGUACACCUGUUGCUUCAGUAAGCAAAUUGGAGCGGAUCCAAGUCGCCACUCAGACAGAUGCUAAUAUGCUUCAACACCAGCCUCUCAAAACACUUCAUCAUUGUGGAUGUAAUCCCUCUGGGCAAUAGUCAUUUAGACAGGUUACCACGCUCUUCUUGGGCACCAGUAUGAUUGAAGCCUGCUUGAAGCAGAUGUGCUGGGUGCGAUCCGGCUACCGCUGCACUGCUGCAUUCUUCACGGCAAGGUAUCGGAGGUUGGGGACCACUGGGGUGGUGGGUGUCAUCUCACCAUCGUCUGUUUCCAUCAGGGCAGGCAGGUCAUCUUCUUCUAUGUCUGCCUGCCUUGAUGUCGAAGGUCGAGGUUCGUCGUCUGCUGUGGAAGGCUUGAAAAACGAGAGUAUGCUUGACUGCUUAGCCUCACGCAUUUUUCUAUCAUACAGUUCUUUUACAAUCUAGUUACUCUUGCUCACCGCUGAACUUCCCCAGGAGACAGGACUGAUUGCAGAUGCUGGAAUAUGGAGCAACAAACCACCUGCUGCACGAAUUCAGCUUGCAGUAGCCAUUUCACCUACCAAUGCAUCUUUUGAGAUGUGAGAUGAAGCAAUGGAACCCCCAGAGGAAAGCCCCACAUGGUGACAUGGAGAACACAUGGAUUCUGCAGGAUUGAACCCCUAAGUAGAUGGACCUGUUGGGCAGCAGUAACACCCUCAGCAUCACUGCAGUGACUUCAACACUCUCUCUCAACAUCACCACUCAUUUCAUACCAUCUUUCUUGCUCUCCAUCUUAUCACAUAGUUCUCUAUGCUCCCUCUACCAUUCCCCAUCUCCUGAAUCCCAAAGAAUCUUGAUUUUCAUUUUUCCCCGCAUACAGCUACUCAAUGAUCUCAAACAUUAACCAUGUUUCUCUCUCCAUGGAUGCCACUUGACCAGCUGCAUUUUUACAGAUUUUGUCUCUUAAAUCAAAACCAUUUCAUUCAAAUUUUCUUCUAAUUUAACUGUAUGUAACUAUAUUAGGUAGGAACUGGGGAGAGUAGAUUGGGAACAUCUGAUUUUGAGCAAAUCCAAAUGUGACAUGUGGGAGCCUUUUAAAAAUCAGAUGGUUAAAAUUCAGUAAUUUAGUAAAGCAGUUGACAAAGCCCCUUAUGGUAGGCAGAUCCAGAAGACCAAGACACAUGGAAUCCACAGUGAGUUAGUUGCAAGUUGGAGUCAAAACUGGCUUAUUCAUAGGAGACAGAUCAUCUUGGGAGGUGAAAUACAAGAAGAAAGUACACUGUCAAUGGCAAAACUCUUAGGAGCCCUGAGUACAAAGGGAUGUUCCUGGGCAAGUCCAUAGUUCCCUGAAAGUGGUAAUACAAGUGGAUAAGAUAAAGACAUUGUCCAGCAUGCUUGCUUUCAUCAAUAGGGGCACAUUGAGUAAAGACCGGCAAGUCAUGUUUGGUGCUGAAUAAAUCCAGUUCUGUCAUUUCCAGGAAAGAUGUGGAGGCUUUGGAGAGGUUCACCAUGAUCACUAUCGUUAUUAGUAUUAGCUACAAGGAGAGAAGGGACAAACUUGAACUGUUUUCUCCGGAAUGGAGGUGGAGGAGGAACCUGGUAGUAUAUCAAUUUAUGAGAGGCAUAAAUAGGCUAUAUGGUCAGAUUUCCCCACCCUGCAGCCCUCUUCAAGAUAGAAAUGUCAAGGAUUUGAGGGCAUAAAUUAUAGGCGAGAGGAGAAAGUCCAGCAACACACAUCAAAGCUGCUGGUGAAUGCAGCAGGCCAGGCAGCAUCUCUAGGAAGAGGUACAGUCGACGUUUCGGGCCAAGACCCUUCGUCAGUCCUGCCUGGCCAGCUGCAUUCACCAACUUUGAUGUAUGUUGCUUGAAUUUCCAGCAUCUGCAGAUUUCCUCGUGUUUGCGAGGAGAAAGUCCAAGAGGUUUCCUUUACACAGAGGAUAGUAAGUGCCUAGGGCAUGCACCCAAAGGAAGUGGUUGAAGCAUAUGACUGCAACAUUUAAGAAGAAAAUAGACAGGUACAUGAUCAGGUAGAGAAUAGAAAGAUAUGGACGUUGUGCAAGCAGAUGGGAGUAGUUUAUAUUGGCCACAUAGUCAGUACAGACAUAGUGGACUGAAGGGUCUAUGUUCUAAGCUUUCAGGUGUGAUUGCAAAGACUUAAUCCAAAUUGAAAUGUUGGAUAAUAGUUUAAUGCAAAAGUAGGUUUAGAAAUGGUUCAAAAACACCUUGAGCAUUUUACCUCCAAGAUAUUUCUCAAAAUUUGUGCUCAUGACCCAAAUCUUCAAAAAUCUGGAUAUUGUAGGAAAGGAAACACAUUAUUCCUUGGGUGAUAUGAACAAUACACUUGCUACCCAAGGCUUGAAAAUAAUGAGUCUCACAUUACCACAAGGUCAAUUCUCAUCAACACAUUUACUUUUCUCUACUUCCAGGACAUGACUUGCUUGGGCAGCUCUUCUGAUUAUCAUGUUGUGAAGCAGCAAGGUGGGAAAAAGUCCUAUGCAUGAACAGCACAAGUUUUAAUCAAAUGCAUUCGUUUGUCAGACCUUUCCUAGAAAAGAUCAGCUCUAUACAAUGGGAUACAACUACUGGAGAUGAACUAGCCCGAGUUGCAUUAGGGUAUAUUCUUCUCUACAAAAUCAUUUGUACAGUCACCGGAUACACAAGCUGCAUUUUUAAAACUAAUGUGCAAUUUGUUAUUUUGGCAUUUGUCUGCCCAAUGGCAAAGAUAACAGCAUUUCUCUUUAAACCUCAUUGCACAUUAUCCCCCACCUAGCAUGAGAUUUGAAACAUACCAGUUUCAAAAUUCAGAUUGUUAAUGGAGAUAGAAACUAGGAUUAGAUAUGUCAACAUUGUGGUUUAGAAUUAAGAGAGGUUGCAGACAGUGGUAAAUACACUUGUCUUGCAGGGCACAUCUGGCCACCACAUUCAAAGCAUAUAUAUUCCAAGAUCCUACCAGAUUGCAGGACUGGUUAGGGUGGUUAAAAAGGCAUACACUUUCUUUUAUAACAGGGAGAUAAUGUUAGAACUGUUUGCAACACCAUCUAGACUAUGGCUUGAAUAAUGUACACUCUUUCUCUUGUCAGACAGAGACAUAGUAACAGCCAGGGGCAUAGUAAUAAGUAGAAAGACUAGAUGAGGGGAUUUUUUUGAUCUAGGGAUUGGUAGAGAUCUUUUACUCAUCGCCUAAAUGGGAAUAAAUCUUCAUCAGGAUGUGAUUUGAAGGUCUGUGCUCUGCAAGACUGUGGGGCCUACUGCUAAAAGAUGGGAUUAGCCUUUGGAGCUCCUUUUCAAAUAUCACUGACAUGAGGAGCCGACUGGCCUCCAGUGUCACAAAUUUUGUAUGAUUUUAUGGUUUUAUGAGAUUGGUAGCCACCUAUUCUUUGCUCUACCCAGUCCUCUCAGUCACUUCUUGAUUAUAUCUCCUGAAGUAAAUCAAAUUGGCUGAACACUGGCUUCUAUGGUGGUAGGGACCUCAGAAGGCUAAAACAGAUUGAGGUAUUUGGCACUUCUGACUUAAGAUGGUUGCAAAUGUUUCAUAUUUUUCUUUGCCACUUCUGCUGAGGAAUUUGAAGCUGUCCCUACCUGCUAGGUGUUUGAUUGUCACCACCAUCACAACUGAACAUGGCAGCACUACAUUGCUUUCAUCUAUGGUGGGACUGCUUGAUUCAGACUGCAUCAUGCUGCUUCUAUUUAGCAAGCAAGCGAUCCAGUGUUCUAGCAGCUGAGGCACCAAUACUCCUGGAUUUAUUGCAUUCAUUCCAGUUGUGAAAGGCUUCUGUUUAUUAUCUCAUGUUGGGGUAUCCUGCAGAUAUCUAUAUGUGAAUAGUUCUUUAAAAAAGUAAAACCUGUCUUACCCAAGACAAAAUACUUUUAAUAUUUUCCACUACUGAAUGAUGAUUCAUUGAACUCUGGGAAAUCAAAGCCAAAAAAAAAAGUGUUCUAGGAUUUGUGUACCAAGUUUUUGUAAUCCUAAUUUUCCCAAAAGUUAAUAUAUAGCAAAUGUGGUUGUUUACUCAAUUCAGCUCUGCCUCUACAUUAUUCAUGUUAUCUCUUCCUUUUUAAACAAAUGUUGGCAGUCAGCAAUUCACUCACAGGAAUCAGUCCUGUAGGCAGGAAGGAUUGAAAAAAAUGAUGGUCACAACCUCUGUAAUCCACUCCCUUGCUUCAUUUACGUACAAGCUGGCAAGCACUUUCCUAACUACACUUAUUCCAUCCAAAAUUUCACUCUCUUUCUCCUUAAUUCCAGUUUCAACAUCACCCAAAUUGUGAAGACACCCAGAAAAUGCUCAUUUAAGAUCGAUUCCCUAAUCCUCAACCUCCACAGAAAGUUUUCUUUUGGCCCCUAAUAGCCUGUAUUUUUUACCCUCCUUAAUUAAUUACAUACUUUGGAUUUUAUUUGGUGUUUCAUGCUAAUAUUUCUCAUGCCUCCCUUUGCUUUCCUAAGUACAAUUUCACCUUCUAUACUAAUGGAGGCGGCACGGUAGCAUAGUGGUUAGCACGACACUUUGCAGUCCCAGCGACCCAGGUUCAAUUCCCGCAGCUGCCUGUAAGGAGUUUGUACAUUCUCACCAUGACCAAGUGGGGUUCCUCCCACAGUCCAAAGACGUACUGAUUGGUAGGUUAAUUGGCCACUGUAAAAUUGUUCUGUGAAUAGACUUGGAUUAAAUCAGGGGUUACUGGGCGGUGUGGUUUGAAGGGCUGGAAAGGCCUAUUCUGCACUGUAUGUCAGUAAAUAAACAAUAAAAAGAACCAUUCAAGCCUUCUCUCUUUUGCCCUAUCCUACCAUCUGCACUCAGCAUUCAGGGAUCCUUAGCCACUCCCACACAUUUUGUGAGAAAAUGCUUACCCUGAACCCCACUGAAUAUGUCCCAUUGGCCUUACUCUAAUCUAGUUUCCAAUCACUUCUUCACCUAUUAUAUUUUCUUUACAUGAAAAGCAUGUAAAUCUGAGUAAAAGGUGCUGGUAUUACUCAGAAGUCGGGCAAUAUUAGAUAAAAGAUCCACUGAUACAGCUGAACCUACUUUGUAUCUCCAGUUUACCUUGUUAGU